rnacentral:rRNA from 1 species
GGGUUGUGAGGUUAAGCGACUAAGCGUACACGGUGGAUGCCCUGGCAGUCAGAGGCGAUGAAGGACGUGCUAAUCUGCGAUAAGCGUCGGUAAGGUGAUAUGAACCGUUAUAACCGGCGAUUUCCGAAUGGGGAAACCCAGUGUGAUUCGUCACACUAUCAUUAACUGAAUCCAUAGGUUAAUGAGGCGAACCGGGGGAACUGAAACAUCUAAGUACCCCGAGGAAAAGAAAUCAACCGAGAUUCCCCCAGUAGCGGCGAGCGAACGGGGAGGAGCCCAGAGCCUGAAUCAGUGUGUGUGUUAGUGGAAGCGUCUGGAAAGGCGCGCGAUACAGGGUGACAGCCCCGUACACAAAAAUGCACAUGCUGUGAGCUCGAUGAGUAGGGCGGGACACGUGGUAUCCUGUCUGAAUAUGGGGGGACCAUCCUCCAAGGCUAAAUACUCCUGACUGACCGAUAGUGAACCAGUACCGUGAGGGAAAGGCGAAAAGAACCCCGGCGAGGGGAGUGAAAAAGAACCUGAAACCGUGUACGUACAAGCAGUGGGAGCCUCUUUAUGGGGUGACUGCGUACCUUUUGUAUAAUGGGUCAGCGACUUAUAUUCUGUAGCAAGGUUAACCGAAUAGGGGAGCCGAAGGGAAACCGAGUCUUAACUGGGCGUUAAGUUGCAGGGUAUAGACCCGAAACCCGGUGAUCUAGCCAUGGGCAGGUUGAAGGUUGGGUAACACUAACUGGAGGACCGAACCGACUAAUGUUGAAAAAUUAGCGGAUGACUUGUGGCUGGGGGUGAAAGGCCAAUCAAACCGGGAGAUAGCUGGUUCUCCCCGAAAGCUAUUUAGGUAGCGCCUCGUGAAUUCAUCUCCGGGGGUAGAGCACUGUUUCGGCAAGGGGGUCAUCCCGACUUACCAACCCGAUGCAAACUGCGAAUACCGGAGAAUGUUAUCACGGGAGACACACGGCGGGUGCUAACGUCCGUCGUGAAGAGGGAAACAACCCAGACCGCCAGCUAAGGUCCCAAAGUCAUGGUUAAGUGGGAAACGAUGUGGGAAGGCCCAGACAGCCAGGAUGUUGGCUUAGAAGCAGCCAUCAUUUAAAGAAAGCGUAAUAGCUCACUGGUCGAGUCGGCCUGCGCGGAAGAUGUAACGGGGCUAAACCAUGCACCGAAGCUGCGGCAGCGACACUAUGUGUUGUUGGGUAGGGGAGCGUUCUGUAAGCCUGCGAAGGUGUACUGUGAGGUAUGCUGGAGGUAUCAGAAGUGCGAAUGCUGACAUAAGUAACGAUAAAGCGGGUGAAAAGCCCGCUCGCCGGAAGACCAAGGGUUCCUGUCCAACGUUAAUCGGGGCAGGGUGAGUCGACCCCUAAGGCGAGGCCGAAAGGCGUAGUCGAUGGGAAACAGGUUAAUAUUCCUGUACUUGGUGUUACUGCGAAGGGGGGACGGAGAAGGCUAUGUUGGCCGGGCGACGGUUGUCCCGGUUUAAGCGUGUAGGCUGGUUUUCCAGGCAAAUCCGGAAAAUCAAGGCUGAGGCGUGAUGACGAGGCACUACGGUGCUGAAGCAACAAAUGCCCUGCUUCCAGGAAAAGCCUCUAAGCAUCAGGUAACAUCAAAUCGUACCCCAAACCGACACAGGUGGUCAGGUAGAGAAUACCAAGGCGCUUGAGAGAACUCGGGUGAAGGAACUAGGCAAAAUGGUGCCGUAACUUCGGGAGAAGGCACGCUGAUAUGUAGGUGAAGUCCCUCGCGGAUGGAGCUGAAAUCAGUCGAAGAUACCAGCUGGCUGCAACUGUUUAUUAAAAACACAGCACUGUGCAAACACGAAAGUGGACGUAUACGGUGUGACGCCUGCCCGGUGCCGGAAGGUUAAUUGAUGGGGUUAGCGCAAGCGAAGCUCUUGAUCGAAGCCCCGGUAAACGGCGGCCGUAACUAUAACGGUCCUAAGGUAGCGAAAUUCCUUGUCGGGUAAGUUCCGACCUGCACGAAUGGCGUAAUGAUGGCCAGGCUGUCUCCACCCGAGACUCAGUGAAAUUGAACUCGCUGUGAAGAUGCAGUGUACCCGCGGCAAGACGGAAAGACCCCGUGAACCUUUACUAUAGCUUGACACUGAACAUUGAGCCUUGAUGUGUAGGAUAGGUGGGAGGCUUUGAAGUGUGGACGCCAGUCUGCAUGGAGCCGACCUUGAAAUACCACCCUUUAAUGUUUGAUGUUCUAACGUUGGCCCCUGAUCGGGGUUGCGGACAGUGUCUGGUGGGUAGUUUGACUGGGGCGGUCUCCUCCUAAAGAGUAACGGAGGAGCACGAAGGUUGGCUAAUCCUGGUCGGACAUCAGGAGGUUAGUGCAAUGGCAUAAGCCAGCUUGACUGCGAGCGUGACGGCGCGAGCAGGUGCGAAAGCAGGUCAUAGUGAUCCGGUGGUUCUGAAUGGAAGGGCCAUCGCUCAACGGAUAAAAGGUACUCCGGGGAUAACAGGCUGAUACCGCCCAAGAGUUCAUAUCGACGGCGGUGUUUGGCACCUCGAUGUCGGCUCAUCACAUCCUGGGGCUGAAGUAGGUCCCAAGGGUAUGGCUGUUCGCCAUUUAAAGUGGUACGCGAGCUGGGUUUAGAACGUCGUGAGACAGUUCGGUCCCUAUCUGCCGUGGGCGCUGGAGAACUGAGGGGGGCUGCUCCUAGUACGAGAGGACCGGAGUGGACGCAUCACUGGUGUUCGGGUUGUCAUGCCAAUGGCACUGCCCGGUAGCUAAAUGCGGAAGAGAUAAGUGCUGAAAGCAUCUAAGCACGAAACUUGCCCCGAGAUGAGUUCUCCCUGACUCCCUGAGAGUCCUGAAGGAACGUUGAAGACGACGACGUUGAUAGGCCGGGUGUGUAAGCGCAGCGAUGCGUUGAGCUAACCGGUACUAAUGAACCGUGAGGCUUAACCUUACAACGCCGAAG